CAUUUUGAAUUCUUUAGUAAUAAAUUUUUUACAUUAUUGAUUCGCGUAUCGAAACAAAAUGUUGAAACUCUAAAAUCUAAAAAGUUGUGGAUCUUUUAUAACUAUUUUUGUUAAUAUCAAAGACACAAGAUUGAGAAGUUAAAACUCCGCGAAGUGAAAAUGAAAGAGUCUGUUGUGCUAGCCAUCUACGGCAUUAUAUUGUUUUACUCCUUUGCCAAAGUGAUUGCUCACGAUAAUUCAACGCUCAAGACAUUCAACGUUCAUCGUAAUUCGGCGUUUUCGACUGGUUUCGAGUUCGAAGACCAAAAAGUUCGACUGUUUAAACUCGUUGGUUUAUUGUGUAUCAUUGUUCUCACAGGAUGCAUGGUAUGCUGUUGCGUUUGCAGCUUUAGCAAGUCAAGACGAAGGCGAAGAUGGAUCUUAGUAGAGAGAGUUGGUUUUAAAGAUGACGAAUUUUUGCUACCGGAUGAUGACGACGAUCAAGGAAGGCAAACAAGCUGUUUGCGUGAGGAACGCAAACGGCUUGCUUUGUAAAACAUGCCGGUCGCAAAUUAAGGGUGUAUUAAACAACAAGACUUUUAUACAAUUUGAAGCAUUGUGAUAUUUUCAAUGCCUUUCAUUGUGCUAAGCACGCGGGUGUAUUGUGAGCUACAUGCAUGUACAGGAUAACUCAAAAAACUGCUCAUCUUUGAAAUCAGCCGACAUUUAGAAUUUGUAUGAUUCCCCAUGGAAGCGAAUUGAAAUGAAUUUUAUGCUUGAAGUUUGCAAUAAACAGAAGCCGCAAUUUGUUAUUAUUGUUUCCGACUGCGUUUCACAUCUUUCGGGAUCAAUAGCUACGGAAUAAUGUCAAUUGUAAACGUCGGCUGACUUCAAAUAUGAUCAGUAUACCUUUAUUACGAGCAUAAAAACUUUCUGCUCCUGGAAAUUUGACAGAACUUCUGCAAAACAUGCACAGUAAUGCUCAAGAGAGAUUAGCAUAGUGCUUGGGAAUUGAAGUUUCACAAUAGGAUAAAUUCUAUCGUUGUUAUUUUUUAUGAUACACUCUGUAGAAUAACUUAUGUACUACAUAAUUGUUGAUUGCUGUAUCUUUGGAAAUAUCAGGCUUAAUAUCGUAAAUAUAUUGUUUAAGCUAG